GGCCGCGGAAUUGCGAUUCAGGCCGAACACAUGCAAGUCGAGCGGUAGAGAGAAGCUUGCUUCUCUUGAGAGCGGCGGACGGGUGAGUAAUGCCUAGGAAUCUGCCUGGUAGUGGGGGAUAACGGCGGGAAACGGAGGCUAAGACCGCAUACGUCCUACGGGAGAAAGCAAGGGACCUUCGGGCCUUGCGCUAUCAGAUGAGCCUAGGUCGGAUUAGCUAGUUGGUGGGGUAAUGGCUCACCAAGGCGACGAUCCGUAACUGGUCUGAGAGGGAUGAUCAGUCACACUGGAACUGAGACACGGUCCAGGCUCCUACGGGAGGCAGCAGUGGGGAAUAUUGGACAAUGGGCGAAAGCCUGAUCC
rnacentral:rRNA from 1 species